rnacentral:misc_RNA from 1 species
GAUGAAGAACGUAGCGAAAUGCGAUAAGUAAUGCGAAUUGCAGAAUUUCCGUGAGUCAUCGAAUCUUUGAACGUACAUUGCGCCCACUGGUAUUCCGGUGGGCAUGCCUGUUCGAGCGUCAUUAUCCUCCCUCAAACCCCGGGUUUGGUGUUGGACCGAAGUUGUGUGAACAACUGGUCUAAAAGACAAUGACGGCGUCCGUGGGACCCUCGGUGCAACGAGCUUUUAGGAGCACGCGCCGAGUUGCAAGGACCUUCCGGGCCGGUCUCCUUUUACUAUUUUACAAGGUUGACCUCGGAUCAGGUAGGAAUACCCGCUGAACUUAAGCAUAUCAAUAAGCGGAGGA